GCAGGGGCUCGGCUAAUUAUUCAGGAGCGGGGUGGGGAGGGCUUCUCGAUCCCUGAUCUUAUGUCCAAUGAACAGGCGACUGACAUGCAUUAUUCACGAGGGGGGCCUUGUCUGACCCACUCACGCGUGGCUACCAAAGACGCGGUCGUUUGACAACCUCACCACAGUCUGUGACAGCAACGUGCCACCCACCAGCCGGCGCAGCAGCGACCCCAGCCUCAACGAGAAGUGGCAAGAGCAUCGGCGCUCCCUGGAGCUGAGCAGCCUGGGCAGCCCAGGGGAGGAGCCUUGUGAUGGGGACACUUUGGGCAAACAAAGCAGGGCCUUGGUGGGAGCAGAGCUCUCAGUGGCUGCCGGUGUAGCAGAGGGGCAGAUGGAAAACAUCCUGCAGGAAGCCACUAAAGAGGACAGUGUACUGGAGGAAGCCCCCCGCAGGAGCAAUGCCGAGGUGGAAGAGACCAAAGAGGGGGCUCUCCUGGAGAAGAGCAGGAGGGAGGACCUUGAGCACUCACUUCCUAAGAAACCAGAAAUGACACGGGGAGCUCUGAUGACUUCUCCAGGAAAUAGCACACAUCAGCUCUUGGCAGAUCUCCCUGGGCAGCAACCCGAGGAGCCCGGGCCUCUGCCCAGCAACCCCCAGGAGGCCCCUAGGAGGCCUGGCCUGCAGGAAGGUCCUGGGGAGGGGCCAGGGGCCAGGGACACUCCACAGGCUGUGGAUGUAGAGAGCCACCCAUCCCCACUGCACCCCGAGAUUCCCUAUGGCUCCUCCCCACCCCCAGCAGUGCCAGCAGGAGCAAGAAUCUCCACUGCAGAGAGCUGUGUGGAAACAGUAAGAGAAGGGGAGAUGAGCACAGAUGAGCUUCCCAAAGGGCCCAGCCAUAGACCUUGCCUCCUGGACAGUGGGGACGAUGAGCUUUCUCAAGCUGAUGGGGAGCACCUGGCAGACAGGGCCAGGGCGGGCUCUAGAGGACCCAGGACUUCCCACAGCCCCAUGCCUUCUUCCUGUGCCUUGCCCUUAGCGGAGCCUAAAGAGGAGAUUGUGUGUAACGGAGACCUGGAGCUAGAGAACAAGGCCAUGGAGAGCCCCGUGGGGCUGACCGUGCCCCAGAGAUACCCUGCCCCGAACGGACACUGUCUGGAUGGAGAGCACGGCAAGGCGAAAGGGCCCUGGAGCCGACGGGUGGCCGCUGCCAGCAGCGGCUGUGCCCAGCUCCCCUAGCGGAGCGCUCAGGCCAAGUGGCUGCAGGGCCAGCCAAGCAGACAGGCAGCAGUGGCUGGCAGUCCGGAGCAGCCCACUCGCAGUCACCUGGACGAUGACGGGAUGCCGGUCUACACGGACGCCAUCCAGCAGCGCUUGCGGCAGAUCGAAACGGGCCACCAGCAGGAAGUAGAGACGCUGAAGAAACAGGUUCAGGAGCUGAGAAGCCGCCUGGAGAGCCAGUGCCUGAACAGCUCCCUGCGCUUCAAUGGGGACUUUGGGGACGAAGUGAGCUCAGUCCCCGCCUCCGAAAGCAAAGCGGAUCCGAAUUGCUUGGCUUGCUGCAGCAGAGAUUUUCUCUGAAGCCAGCUGGGAGCAGGUGGAUAAACAGGACACAGAGGUGCAGACUCACUCCCUGUGCUGCGGCUAACCAUCGAGCUCCGCAGCCCCUUCCACUAGGGCGCGACCACCUGGCACAGCAGGGCACCGCUUGGGCACCCUUCCUGCUGGCACCUCGACUCUGGGCCUUCAGCUGCCAGCUCUCUAGUUCCACACGAUCUCAGAGAACCAGCAGGAAUCACCUAUACACCAGGCACUCCUAGUUGUGGGCCCGCUUGGCUCCCAGGCAGGAGGAGGGAGUCGGGAGCUCUUGACUACUUCUUUUUUCUCUGAGGGGAAUUUGAUGGAGAUGGUUUGGACGCCUUUCCUUUAUUGAUCAUUCUGAAUCUCUCAAGUCAGGGCCGAAGGAGUCAGCGUCAACCUUUGCUCUCCUCUGCUAAACGUUUGCCAGCAUCCCCUUUGGUGAAGAUUUCUCUGGAAUGGGAGAUGACUAGUCCCCAGACCCUAAUAAAUAUGCCAAUGGAGAUCCCCAGAGCCAGGAAGCUGCUACUGCACAUGUGGAAAUUCCAUCAGUUCCAGAGAGGUUUCUCUGCAACUUCCCCAUCAUCCCUAAGGCUACCUGAUUAGCCCCCAGACUGUUUUACUAGCUAACAGGCUAUUGUACCACCAUACAAAUAAAAUUCUUUUCUUCUGGA